rnacentral:lncRNA from 1 species
CUAGAGAGAGAAAUCAGGCAAGAAAGCUUGGAGGGCAUUAAUGGUGGGGAAUAAGAGGUAAGAGAUAGGAGGGAGGUGGAAGAAGCCGCUCCUUAAAUAGUCGCCCUCUCUUCCAACUGUUACAGCCGAUUUCUCACACGGGUGGUACAACCGCUGCGUGCACCGAUACAAUCGCACCAACCCUAACGCCUGGUACAACCAGUGGCCGAGGCGAUAGUACCGGUCAUAUAGGAGGACAGGAACUACCGCCUACCACCGCCCAACAACCGGUCGGAAACCAUAGAGGAAUCACCAUCAUGCGGUGUUGGGUGGUGGUUGACACAGCGCAACUGCCAGGGGGAAACAGGGAUGCGGCUAAGUCCUGGGCGGUAAAACCACCAGAGGCACCAGUAGUAUCGGUUAAAAGAUUUGACACGAACUACCGGCACGCAACCACCCAAGUACAACACCAAACCAGAGACAUCUCCGGUUGUGGAGUGGUACUCGGCCGGUACAACCUCUAGAGGUGCUACGGCGGUACAACCGCUGGGUAACAACCUAAGAGCAGUUGUUCCUGACUUACCCAUCCCAGCGGUACAACCGCCAGAGACAGAGGUACAACCUCCUGAGAGAAAACAACUGCUUAGAGAAGGAAAGAGGGUCUCUUUCAAGGAUCGUAAGAAAUCAUGACGGGAGAUAGAAUGUUGUCUAUGUAUAUCGAUUCACCCACUACCUUCCUAUAUGAAUUCCCUUUUAAUAGUACGGGUUAUCUACGACCAAAGGAAUAAACAUGUAGAGAACACCGUCUUCUUUCUUUUUCGUCCGGAGGGGUAGUCCAAUAAUAUUGUGUCCAAAGUGAUGUCCCUGAAUACCUUG